rnacentral:rRNA from 1 species
UCCGGUUGAUCCUGGCGGAGGUUACUGCUAUCGAGGUUCGACUAAGCCAUGCGAGUCGAAUGUAGCAAUACAUGGCGUACUGCUCAGUAACACGUGGACAACCUACCCUGAGGUCGGGGAUAAACCCGGGAAACUGGGUAUAAUACCCGAUAGAUCUAGAUUGCUGGAAUGCUUUUAGGUCUAAAGUUCCGACGCCUCAGGAUGGGUCUGCGGCCUAUCAGGGUAGUAGUGGGUGUAAAGUACCUACUAGCCUACGACGGGUACGGGUUGUGAGAGCAAGAGCCCGGAGAUGGAUUCUGAGACACGAAUCCAGGCCCUACGGGGUGCAGCAGGCGCGAAACCUUUACAAUGCUGGCAACAGCGAUAAGGGGACCUCGAGUGCUACGAUACAAUCGUGGCUGUCUAGUUGCCUAAAAAGCAAUUGAUAGCAAGGGCCGGGCAAGACCGGUGCCAGCCGCCGCGGUAACACCGGCGGCUCGAGUGGUAACCGCUAUUAUUGGGUCUAAAGGGUCUGUAGCCGGCUUAGUUAGUCUCUUGAGAAAUCUGGCCGCUCAACGGUCAGGCGUUCAGGGGAUACUGCUAAAGCUCGAGGCCGGGAGAGGUGAGAGGUACUUCAGGGGUAGGGGUGAAAUCUUGUAAUCCUUGAAGGACCACCAGUGGCGAAGGCGUCUCACCAGAACGGAUCUGACGGCAAGGGACGAAAGCUAGGGGCACGAACCGGAUUAGAUACCCGGGUAGUCCUAGCCGUAAAUGAUACUCGCUAGGUGUCGGCCACGGUGCGACCGUGGUCGGUGCCGUAGGGAAGCCGUGAAGCGAGCCACCUGGGAAGUACGGCCGCAAGGCUGAAACUUAAAGGAAUUGGCGGGGGAGCACUACAACGGGUGGAGCUUGCGGUUUAAUUGGAUUCAACGCCGGAAAUCUUACCGGGGCCGACAGCGAUAUGAAGGCCAGGCUAAGGACCUUGCCUGAUUAGCUGAGAGGUGGUGCAUGGCCGUCGUCAGUUCGUACUGUGAAGCAUCCUGUUAAGUCAGGCAACGAGCGAGACCCA